UGUGGACGCGACUCACUAGAGCGAAAGAUGUUGUCACAUAGUGUAACGUGGUGUGUUUUUUCGCUAUUUUAACCGACUUUCCGUGGCCUUUAAGCAAGAUGAUGGAAGAAGAGGACUCGUAUGGCUUUGAGCAAACUCUGAUGUAUGGUCGUUUUACGACCACACAACUUCAGAAAUAUGCUAAAGAACAAGGUGCACGGCUACGAAGAGAACAGCAGCAAAGGAGAGGAGAACAACAAGAAGCAGACGAUGACUUUAGAACUUAUGACAGUUCGUGGCUUGGAUCAGUGAAAAGGUUUGUUGAGAGGUUGCGACCUUGCUGGAGUCGUUUGGGAAGUGACUGGGUGUUUCUUCUGGUCCUUGGAAUUGUCAUGGCACUAAUAAGCUUUGUGUUGGACUUAGCCAUUGAUAAGUGCCAGACAGCUCAUAUUUGGCUUUACAAUUUACCAAACAACACCUUCCUUCAGUAUAUUGUGUGGACAUCUUUUCCACUAUGCCUAGUUACCUUUUCUGUCGGAUUUACUCAUCUAGUUUCUCCUCAUGCCAUAGGUUCAGGCAUUCCUGAGAUGAAGGUUAUUUUAAGGGGAACAGUUUUGAAACGUUACUUGUCACUAAGAACAUUGAUUGCAAAAGUGGUUGGUCUUCUUACUGCUCUUGGAAGUAGUAUUCCCAUUGGAAAAGAAGGUCCUUUUGUACACAUAGCAAGUAUGGUGGCACGAUCUAUGGGAAAAUUUGUGGCAUCAUUUAAAGGCAUAUACACGAAUGAGUCCAGAAAUACAGAGAUGUUAGCGGCAGCUUGUGCUGUUGGUGUUUCAAGCUGUUUUGGUUCUCCCAUUGGAGGGGUACUAUUCAGUAUUGAGGUUACUGCUACUUACUUUGCUGUUCGAAAUUAUUGGCGUGGCUUUUUUGCUGCUGUCUGUGGAGCUCUUAUGUUCCGUCUACUAGCUGUAUUUGAUAAAGAAGAAGAAACUGUCACUGCUCUCUUCAAGACUAAUUUUAGGCUGGACUUUCCAUUUGAUGUGGAAGAGUUCAUUGCAUUUGCAUCAAUAGGGUUGAUUUGUGGCUUUGGAGGAGCCUUGUUUGUCUUCACACACAGAAAACUUGUCGACAUUCACAGAACUCACAAACACACCAAGGUGGCAAAAUUUCUUGCUAGAAACCGCUUUGUAUAUCCAGCAGUUGUUGUCUUUAUCAUUGCAACAAUCACUUUUCCCAAAGGACUUGGACAAUUCAUGGCUGGAGAGCUGACUCAAAAGCAAGCAAUAGAUGAACUCUUCAUAAACAUCACAUGGUCUGAAGCACGAGAUUCUGAUGAUCAAGCUAGUCUAAAUGUCUUAAAGCACUGGGAUGGAGCCAACACUAAUAUCUAUGUCACCUUGGUUAUAUUUAUUGUCCUGAAGUUCAUUAUGACAGCUGUAUCAGUUACAUUGCCCUUUCCUGCUGGUGUCUUCUUUCCUGUAUUUUUAAUAGGUGCAGCAUUUGGCCGGCUUGUGGGAGAAGCCAUGGCGACAUGGUUUCCUAAUGGUGUGAACUCUGGGGAUGCAGUUUCACCUGUGGUUCCAGGGGGAUAUGCUGUUGUUGGAGCAGCAGCUAUGUCAGCAGCCGUUACCCACACAAUAUCUACAUCUGUGAUUGUGUUUGAACUCACAGGACAAAUCACCCAUAUCCUUCCUGUUAUGAUUGCUGUUUUGAUUGCUAAUGCUAUUGCACAGUGGUUACAGCCAUCGUUUUAUGACAGCAUUAUUCAAAUCAAGAGGUUGCCAUACCUGCCUGACUUGACAAAAACUCAGGUGUACAACUUACUUGUUGCUGACAUAAUGAAGACCAAUCUUUUUUACAUCUCCUUUCAUUCAAAAUAUGCUGACCUCAAAGAAUUACUGGAUAAGUCACAUCACCGCUCUUAUCCAUUAGUGGAUUCAGAAGAUUCAAUGAUCCUUCUUGGCUCCAUUCAGCGACCUCAGCUGCAAUCUCUUUUAAAUCUGCACAUGCAAAAACUAUACCAGUCCAGCAGUAAUGCAGAGAGUGAAGAUGCAUUAUGUGCGAGGCCAGAAACACCAGAUCCUCCACAGUUACAAUCUGAUGAUCAGAGCCGCAAUACCCAAUCAUCAGCAGCUCAACUGGAGGUGGCAGCUGAAAUAACGUUAAAAAGACAGGAUAGUCAACCUCAAAAAUCAUCAACUGGAAAGUCUUUGCUGGAGAAAAUUCCAGUUCCUACAAGACUUCACAAACUCUUCGGUAGUGGGUCAGCUCUUAAUGAAGCUGAGAAAACCUCAGAUGCACCUGAUAAAGACAGUCCAACUGUGGAUCAGCAACUUCAGUGGGAAAAAGAACUCUUGCAGAGACCUAUUGACUACAGUAACUGUCAGAUUGAUCCAGCCCCUUUUCAGUUAGUUGAAAGGACGUCGCUGUUAAAGGUUCACAAGCUUUUCGCGCUACUUAACUUAUCGCAUGCCUAUGUGACCACUUUGGGACGACUGGUGGGCGUGGUCGCUCUGAAGGAGGUUCGCCAGGCAAUCGAGGGUGAACGCUUCUUGGAUACUUCACACGUAGACGCAGAAGGCGAGGGUCGCAGCGGCAGUUUUACGUCUGCACGUGCUCGGGAUACCAUGCUGAAAGGGUGUCCGGAACCCAGGGUCACUACUGGAGAGACAGAUCCUACGCUGUAGAAAAUUGAAAUGUUCUUACCGCUAAUUCCAACUCAGCUUCCCUGAAGCUUACGCCUUUUUUUAUCAACGGAAUGUCCGACAAACGCUAGUUACGGCUCUGACUUCGGCUCCGAUCCUACUCCGUCGCUUUAGAGAUCUGGCCUUGAAGAGAAAAGUAUCUAGGAGUUCAGUAUUCAGUGGGCUUCGUUGCAAUUCAAAUUUGGUGGAAAAAAUAUGAAGUUUUUUUACGGAAAUCUCUUAACAAUCGUUGAUGGCGUUUUCAAAAAGAUAAUUAUUAAGAAGAAACCCAAAAGGAUGUAGGAUUUCUUCGUAUUUUAUUCCAUUAUUUUUUGAGAUGCAUGAACCGUUCCGUUGGUCGUUGAAGCCCGCCAAGGUAAGCAUGCAGAACAUGCACCAAUUUUUAUUGGGUUUUUCAGACGAGCGCGAAAGGGAAGUCGUGCGCGAGUUCGGAGUAUCUAUUCGUCUCGCGCGUUACUCGUUCUUUAUGUUCGACUCGCGCGUGCCGCCUUUCGCUUGAAAAGGCUCUUGGAAAAUAAAGUUUGUUCUGCGGGCUUGCCGAAUUGGUUAAUUGGUUGUUGUAAAAUACUGUUUAGACUUGUAUUUGACAGCCUGUCCUCCGUAUAUCAUAUGCUAUAUCUUUUUUUGAUCCCACAAUAAGUUUUUUUUUCGUAUUUAUCGAUUAGACAUUGCUUUUUAUACGUACCGACCAGAGAAUAUUAUGAUUAUAGAAAAUUAUCAUACUUCCCCAAUAAUACGAUAGAAAUGAGUAGUCUCAUAUCGAACGAACAUGAGCGGAUUACUAUUAUUAUUAUUACCGUUAUCAAAACAAGUGUAAAAGAAUUAUAUUUUAUUUUGUCAAAAUUAGCCAUUUAAUGAGGUGUAUGAUUAUUUGGUGAGGUCGAAAGUGCUUAUUUUUUAGGCAUUGAUCAUGUUUCUUUUUUCAAGAAACUCUUCUUCGGACUUUCAUAUUAAUUUUUGAUAUUUUUGUAAUAAAUAAUUUUACAAACGUAAAGGAAUUCCGUAAAAGUGAAUAAAACAAACGUGUUCUGGAGCAGUGAUUAAAUUAGAUAAUAGUACUUGGUCAAGAGAGGAUUACAGUUCUGCCCAGACGAUAUACAAUUGUUUGGAUCUCGCAUAUGUUUUUAUUAAAACCAUUUAUUGGAGUAUACAUCAUACGUGUUAACAUACUGAUACCUGUACAUAAGUGAUCGAGCCAAAAGCAGUAUUAUACAAGAACUCUAUACCCUUCAUUACUGUGUAAGCGUAUAUUGCAUAUUGUAAAUUUCGUAUAAAAUGGUGUACAUUCGUGUUAUUGGCUCUAUUGUGGAACUUUUGUUUCCUGUAUGUUUGAUACACAUUUCUCUCAGAUUCACAGGCUUCCUUUGCCUGAAAAACGCGAAACCUUUUCCUUCAAGAACGUGUCCUAAUACCCUCAAGGCUGGAUAGACCAUUUAACGAAAAAUUUACGCACCUUGCAAAGUUUGUUUUCGUGCACAGAAAGAUAUAUCAUGCAAAAUGGAAAUCACAUGGAUCAAAGUUGUGACAAGCAGCAGUGUUUGGAGCAGUCUUUCAGGUUUCACCAGCUAUGCUCUACUCCAAGGAAGUUAAAACAAGACCGAACAUACAAGUUUGCCGCCAGUCAGUGAGAGGAAAAAAUGGACGAAUGCCCAAAGAUUGAAGUGAUGUGAAAGCUAAAUGUCGUUGCUCCUCAAUUUACUUGAGCCCUGAUUUACCAGAAGCAAGUGGUGUUGCAAAAUGACCAAUGUAAGGUUUCUUCGACCACUUAAAGCACGAUACCAAGAAACACGAUCACCUUAAGCCUGGGCUAGAGAAAAGUAUAAAUUUUGGGAAGAAAGCAAAAUUGGAUCGACCCCCAAAUCAGAGAAUAAAAAAAAUGGGGGCUCGAUUCUUUGACCAUUUCCCCUCUACCCACCUGCCUCUCUGAGGCAUUUUCUAAAAGUUAAAUACCUUGGAGGGAAACCAAAAACGGUUAACCUUUCAUCAUGCCCUACUACACCCGACCUUUUCUGUCUACCUUUUGAUACAAAUGUCCUUUGAUAUGAUCAACUCAUAUUACAGUACAGUAAUAUUACAAUACAAUCUUCUAAUAUAUUACACUAUAUAUUAUAAUACUAUA